rnacentral:rRNA from 1 species
UACGUAGGGGGCAAGCGUUGUCCGGAAUCAUUGGGCGUAAAGCGCGUGUAGGCGGCCCGGUAAGUCCGCUGUGAAAGUCGGGGGCUCAACCCUCGAAUGCCGGUGGAUACUGUCGGACUAGAGUGCGGAAGAGGCGAGUGGAAUUCCUGGUGUAGCGGUGAAAUGCGCAGAUAUCAGGAGGAACACCGAUUGCGAAGGCAGCUCACUGGGACGUAACUGACGCUGAGACGCGAAAGCGUGGGGAGCAAACAGG